rnacentral:lncRNA from 1 species
UGAUAACUAAAGAUACAUUCUCUAUUCUUCAUUUGUAAUGCACAUAUAUUAAAGGUCCAUACAGAUGCAGGUAAUAAAAUUCGUCGCUAACACCUGGGCAACAGUGUGCUAAAUAACAGUGAAUAACUUUACAGGUGGUAGGCCAAUACAGAUUAUAAAAGUUCUAUUUCAUGGGAGCAAUUCCAACUUUAGCUUGAUAUAGCUGUGUAGCUGUAUUCAUCCUCACGCGGGCCUUGAGAUAGAGCUGACAACACAACAAAGGUUCCGAACAAAAUGGUGGCUAUUGCUGUAAAGUUGACAAGGAAUGCCUCUGAACCGUACUUCUCAAGCCCGGAGCUCUGAAGGAACGUAAGCUUUUCAAGAAAUCCUAGACAGGCAGUGCCAACAGCUAGGAUGUACACAAAUAAGCCAAAUAGAAUGUGCCAUGGGAGCGACUCCUUUCUGAUCAAAGGAGUACCGCCAGGAUAGAAGAAUACCACAAAACCAUAAAUCCACUGCAAAUCAUCCAAAAUUAUCAGAUAAUGAUUAUAAGAGUUGUCCACUGGAUCUAAGUGUGAGAGAUUCUAUUUAUUAGCAGCUAAGCCAUGCCAUCAGGGGAGGAGGAGCCAUGAUUUACAUCUACUGGGCACUUGGUAGAAAAAAAGUAACUUGAAUUUUAAAAAUUAGGAAAAAUAUAGCUUAAGCAAGAUUCAAAGUAGAUCAGUCCUAUACACCCAAAGUUACAUACAAGCUGAGCCAGCAUAACUUAUUAAUAGGAUACAACUAAAUUCCAUAAAUUCAAGAAAAAAUGAACAGAUUCAAACCCAUGUUCCAGAUAUUUCUUACCAACAAAGCUACGACAUAAGAUGUGUGUAGGUUAUAUCAUACUAUUAGGACAAAAAUUCUGAAAUUUCAUCGCAGAUUGUUAUAUCCCUCAGCCUACAAUGCGUCCACGAUUGCAUAUUUUGAUGGGAAAAUGCAAGGUCAGAAAGCUAAGUCAUCAGCCUAGUUUGAGUUUAAAAUAAUAUGAUAAAUUGCAAUCGAGGUGCUCGAUUUCAGGUAGAUAAGUGCCGUAACAAGAAGAAGCAGUUACUUCUAUAUCAGAAGUAUGAAAAUGCUACGAGUAUAUUUCUAACAAACUGAAGGUGAAGAUAGAUUAUAUGAGAAGUACCUGUAUGCCAUAAAGGACAACAACCCCAAUCCCAAUCCAGGAAUGUAAACUGUAUAGAUUGGCAAUAUUACUCUCAUUGUGAAAUUUAAAUGCCAUGUAAACCCCGAAUAUGGCUAGUACCAGCGCAAUUCCAUGCAGAACUAGAUGUACCAGUUUCUUGUCUUUCUUCUUUAAUGGGAGAGAUUUGUAGCUUAUGAUUGCUAUAUUUAAGAAACAACAGGUAAAAAGUUACUCAGAUCAGCUACUAAUACUAUAACUAUCUAUCAAAAAUAUUUCAUAACGCUAAAUUACUCACCUUCACCGCCAAUGAUAAUUAAGCCAAUUAAAAGCAAAACAGGAUGAAGCUGCAAAAAGAAUGUAAAUCAGUUGUGAAUGCCUGAUGAAACCCUAUUGCCUGCUGCGUUAAAAUUAGAAUGCAAUCCAACAGUACACAUUAGACACGCAAGAUUGACUGAUAAUAUACAGGCCACAGGACAUAUGUUUUUGACCCUGUUAAGACAUAGGCAUGAUCUACAUAUUAACCACUCCAACCAAAGCUCCAAUAAAACCAAAGGUCUUGAGUUUGAUAGUGGAGGUUCGAAACCAUGGAGUGCAAGUGCUGUCUCAUUUGGACGGCAAACAUUGAAACCCUGAUGACCGCUGCCUCGUUCAGAAGGCAAAAACGUCUACUUGAUCCAUCAUAAAUACAAACCAUGGUACAUUUACAAACUCAACUUUCAUUUAGACCACACAGGUAAACAUUUCUAACUCAUCAUCAAUGAUUCCUCCAAAUUUCCCAAAAAGUUCAGUUCUCAAGUAUUAAAAUUUAACAAGGAUUGUUGCAACAUAUAUGGUAUACAAAGUUUAGCUAAUCAACAUACUUGCAAUAUUGACAUAAAAACUUGCUAUAUCUCAAUCAAACAACAAGUACACAAAAAAUAAAGUCAAUAUCUAAUCCAUAAACAACCACAACACAAAAGCCUUCUAAAUUCAGACACAUAAACUUAGGCACACGCGAGUUUCAAAAUUUCAAGAGUGCAGAACAAUUGUUGUCACCGUAAAUUAACAAAAUAAUAAGUAAAGAAAGUUGGGGAAGUGAAAGAGAGGGUAAGAAAUUACAUUAAAGAUGAGAUUUUUAUUGGAAGAUUCAAAAACCAAUCCUCCUCUGAAGUGUAUUGACCAGACAAGAACCAUCACCGCUGCGAUUGCGCCCAACACGUGGGUUGCGAAUGUGAAGGGGACUGCGUUGAGUUGGAUUCCCCCCAUUUUAUUUU